CAUAGCGACUAUCGUGGCAUAUCAAUAAGCGGAGGAAAAGAAACUAACAAGGAUUCCCUUAGUAACGGCGAGUGAAGCGGGAAGAGCUCAAAUUUGAAAUCUUCAAGGUUUUACCUUGACGAAUUGUAGUUUAAAGAAGUGUUUUCUGUUGAAGUUUUGGUAAAAGUUCUUUGGAAUAGGACAUCAUAGAGGGUGAGAAUCCCGUAUUUGACCAUUAUUUUCAGCUGUGUGAUACACUUUCAAAGAGUCGGAUUGUUUGGGAAUGCAGUCCAAAAUGGGUGGUAAAUUUCAUCUAAAGCUAAAUAUUGGCGAGAGACCGAUAGCGAACAAGUACCGUGAGGGAAAGAUGAAAAGAACUUUGAAAAGAGAGUUAAACAGUACGUGAAAUUGUCAAAAGGGAAGCGUUUGACACCAGUGUUGUUUUUCCGAGAAUCAAUUAAAAAUUGAUUCAUGCCUAGGUUGUAUUGACCUUAUCAGCUUGCAAUUUAGUUUUGGGUCUCUUUUUGAUGCACUUUUCGGUUAACAAGUCAACAUCAAUUUCCUUUGCUGUAAAAAGGUAAGAGGAAGGUGGCUUCAAUUUCGGUUGAAGUGUUUAUAGCCUUUUAUCUCUGCAGUCGGGGAGAUUGAGGUCUGCAGCGUAGAUCCUUCGGGGCUAGAUACAUUUAUGCUAAGUUAUAGCUUUUCAUAGACAACUUGUUGACUAUGUUUAGUCAUGUAGCUUACUCGUAAGUGCUAUUUUACCUACGCUUAGGAUGUUGAUAGUCACAGCGUGUA
rnacentral:rRNA from 1 species